UGAACGCUGGCGGCGUGCCUACUACAUGCACGUCGAGCGACCAGACGAGGAGCUUGCUCCUCUGACGUUAGCGGCGGACGGGUGAGUAACACGUGGAUAACCUACCUAUAAGACUGGGAUAACUUCGGGAAACCGGAGCUAAUACCGGAUAAUAUAUUGAACCGCAUGGUUCAAUAGUGAAAGACGGUUUUGCUGUCACUUAUAGAUGGAUCCGCGCCGCAUUAGCUAGUUGGUAAGGUAACGGCUUACCAAGGCAACGAUGCGUAGCCGACCUGAGAGGGUGAUCGGCCACACUGGAACUGAGACACGGUCCAGACUCCUACGGGAGGCAGCAGUAGGGAAUCUUCCGCAAUGGGCGAAAGCCUGACGGAGCAACGCCGCGUGAGUGAUGAAGGUCUUCGGAUCGUAAAACUCUGUUAUUAGGGAAGAACAAAUGUGUAAGUAACUAUGCACGUCUUGACGGUACCUAAUCAGAAAGCCACGGCUAACUACGUG
rnacentral:rRNA from 1 species